rnacentral:tRNA from 1 species
CAGAACGUAGCUAAAAAGACUUAAAGCAUCUCUUUUACACUGAGAAGACACCCGUGCAAAUCGGGUCGCUCUGA